rnacentral:misc_RNA from 1 species
UCCGAUUUGUCACCGGCAGUCUCUCUAGAGUGCCCAGCUUAACCUGAUGGUAACUAAGAACAGGGGUUGCGCUCGUUGCGGGACUUAACCAAACACCUCACGGCACGAGCUGACGACAGCCAUGCAACAAGUGUCUUCACGUCUCCUUGUGGGAGAGGGCCCCCUUUCAGGGGCUUGCGAUCGAUGUCAAGCCUGGGUAAGGUUCUUCGGUUAGUAUCGAAUUAAUCCACAUGCUCCACCGCUUGUGCGGGUCCCCGUCAAUUCAUUUGAGUUUCAGCCUUGCGGCCGUACUCCCCAGGCGGGGCACUUCAUGCGUUAGCGCCGGCACCCAGGGGGUCGCUCCCCCAAGCACCUAGUGCCCAUCGUUUACGGCGUGGACUAC